rnacentral:lncRNA from 1 species
AUGGCAUAUAGUAUAGGACUUUGUAAUGAGAUGGUUCUGAAUCACUUAUUACCGUCUUAUCACAUGGGAUGUUGUGGGGAAAGUGUCUGGCAAUGCUUUUGCCACAGAUGUCGUCUGAUGGCUGCCGUGGGACUCCGUCCCCAAAGAAGCUCUAAGGAUCCUAGGACACCUAUUUUGAGCAAUGUGACGAGGUCCUUAUUUUCUUCUAGAUGCUGUAAUUAACACAGUCGGAAAUUUGUCUUGAGGAUGCCAAAUUCUCAAGAUGUAGAUCUGUGUUGCGUGGAGGCUUGUUGUGACUGUUUGGGCAAGACAAAAACUAAUAGUCCAUACCAUCUUUGGUUCACAGUAUUUUAUGGUUCUAUCCUGACGCUUAAAAUAUUUUUGAAGGUGUGUAUAUGAUUCUUGCUGAAUUCUGUCUCAACACUGCAGCAGAGAUUAUCCUGAAAAAUAAUUAGUAAGAUAAGGCAUAUUAAAAAAAAGGCAGGAGGAGGAAAGAGAAUAGGGUGUUGGCUCUCCAGAUGUUUCAGAUUCUAUUCCCAGAAGCCUUGGCUAACAUGGCCAAUAGCAAGUGAUCACGGAGACUGUUGCCCAAAACAUUUGGAGGCCCCAAAUUCCCCAUCACCGCUGGGGAAGAGGAGGAGGAAUACAGUGAUUCAACUGAUGUGUGCAAGUACAUGAUGACAGGUCUCUGUUCUGAAGGAUUUAUCAUCUAAAAUCUGGCAAGAGGAAUCAUAGAAAGAGGAAACAGCAGAGGAAAUGAAGAGAAAUGAACAUUGGGGAUUAAAGUAUUGUUAAAUAAACAUAAGAGAUGGGUGAAGAGAUUUAGUUUUUUUCAAAUGCUGAAUGACGGUGGUAAAAAGAACAGUUUCAGCAUGUCAAGUGAGGAUAAAGAACAAAACAAUCAUCCUGAUUUGGACUGGACUUCAGAAAGGGAAAUAUAGGUCAAAUAGUUGGAGAAUUUUCUUAAAAAAUAUGAACAGAUCAGCCACAGAAUAACCUGCCUAGAUUUACACAUUUUAAAGGUGCUAAAUGGACUCAUGGACACUUUCCCAUGCUGGAUGGAAGAUUGAUCAUUUUAGUCCAAAAAAGAAACUUUCACAAGCAUUACCAUACAUUGUAAAAGUUACUUUUCUGACUAAAAUUCUCAGAAUCUCCUAGCCAGCAUGGCUAGUGAUUAAAAUCAAUUGACAUUCUAACUAUAUAUUACAGUAGAUGCAAUCUAGACAUAUUACUGCGAAGAAGUGUAGGUAUCUGUGACUAUUCUGUGGAUUUGGUGUGCAAUUCAACAGAUGAGUACUUCAAGGUAAUACGUUACUUCAGUAGAGUCUACCGUAGCUUCAGCCAGCGUGGUUAACAGCAGCAUUAGUUAUUACUAUGCGUGUUGGAACUCAAUGACACUCAGUUUUUUAGACUCUGAACGCGCCGAUCUGCAUAUUUAUAAGUGUAUUUUUAUGAAUGUCUAAUGUAAUUUAAUUUUAAUUGAAUUGCAAUAUAUUGUAUUAUUUUUAUAUAUGUGCUUUUAUUGUAAGCUGCCCUGAGUCCCCUC